UGCUUUGUGAAGUGGAAGUAUCAUGAGGUUUAUCCGAGGCAUGAUUAUUGCUAAUUGAAAACUUUCCAAAUGGCUGUUCACCUGAAUGUAAAAACUUUGGGCCAGAAUGAAAA
rnacentral:snRNA from 1 species